UCCCGGCUAGCAGCGUCGGAGCUGGCAGGGCUUCUGCAAGCCCUCUGCUCCCACCCUGGCCCCAUUUCACAGACGAGGAAACAAAGGCCCAAAGAAGAGUUCCGCCCGGGACGGAACGUGGCAUAGCUCGCAACAGAACCCAGUCUCCGGAGAUCCCUCUCCUCUGCACCACUUGGACGUUCCACGGGGAGGCAGCGGUGCGCGGGGCGACGGGGAGCUGCCAGAGAAGCAGUGGGGAGCCAUGGAAAGUUUCUGAACAGAGAAGCACUUAUUGGGAACUGUCAGAGCUAUGCUUCAGGAGAUGAAUCUGGCAACAACGUGGGUUAAUAUUAAUGCCCUGUACAUCCUGAGUACAUGUUUCCAGAAAGAGGUGAUCCAGGAGGCUGCCAAGUGGCCUGCAGGUGACAUCCGGAGGGCAGAAAAUGCCCAUGCAGGUCCACAUGUGGGUCCUUAAGCCCCUCGAGGAAAAGGGAGGAGAAAAGGACAAAGAAGGCUCUCCCUUUCCCUUGGAUCCCCUUCUGCUCCCACAUGCCUAGUGGGAGCCUCCCUCUUCUGCUUGAGCCUUCAGGACAGGUUCAGGACCCUGUCUCCUACCUGGCUGGGCCAGAAAUGAGGAACAUGUUGCAAGCCCUCCUCCACCUGACUUGCCAAGUCCAUACAGGCUGGGGCCUUAGAUCCAACAACUUAGAAAGGAAGCUGCUUGGACCUGAAGGUGGAGCUGAAUUUGAGCCUUUGCUGGAGGUGGGGUGCCCGGCCUUUCUACAAACGCCUGCUUGAUUCCCUCCGUGAUGGGCAAAGGCCUUCCCUCCCACAACACCUGAAUUCUGGGCACCCUGAUCUUUGGAGGCCAGGACUUUCCCAGGUUCCCUAUCAGUCCACCCACAUCAGAAGUAGAACGAACACCCUACUAUCUAACCCGUUCCUGGCUCCUGCCCCCAGCCCUGCCUCGUAGCUGGCCUGUGGUGGGUGGGGUGUGGCUGGCAGUUGGUACCCGUUAAAAGAGAGCCAGGAGUGAUAUCUACUUGGUACCUCCCUCAAAGCUCCCGCUCACCACCUGGAUGCCUGUGUGCACGCAGGAAUUGGCUGGGGGCUGGGGAGAGCAUGGGUGGGGGUGCUGGUUUGCUUGGUUUAUAACACUUCUUCUUGCUCCUCAAUGCCAGGGCAGAGAGUGUGCCCCUGUACAUGCAUCCUCAUUUGUGGGCAAGGCUCUGUCCAUGCAGGUGCCUGGAGAUGUGGGUUUACUCACACAUUCCCAGGCUCUCAGGGUUGGAAGGGACUUUGGAAGAGGCCUUCCCCCUCCUCCCUCACCUGUUCUGCCAUAUCCAUGCCAAAUGCUCAUCUGGAUUCUGCUUGAUCACUCCCAGUGACUGGAAGCUCGCUUCUUCCCCAGGCAGCCCAUCUCUGCUGACUGCUGGAAUACUGAGCUGGAAACUGUGCCAGCAACCUGGACAAUUCCCCACCCCCUACCCCAUCUGCAAGAAAACCGGACCAGGACAAGAUGCCAAAAACACAGCACCCUAAGAUAGUUACAGCUCAUGCUUACAGAAUACCUCCUUAGCCAGGCACUGUACUAAGUGCUUUACGUAUCUUCACUCUCAUAAUCUUCAUGAAACUCUAUGAGGUCAUGUUUGUUGUUAUCCCCGUUGUGUUGAAAAGAAAACCGAGGCACAGAGAAGUUAAGACACUUGCCUGAGGUCCCACAGCGAGGAGGUGGCAACACCUGAUAUACAAUCAGGAAGCCUGGCUCUUCCUGAGUUUAAUCACCACAUUAUAUUGCAGGCACUGCCCAGAGAGAGAGAGAGAGAGAGAGAGAGAGAGAUGGAGACAGAGAGAAAGACACAGAGACAGCACGUAAGAAUGAGCAGGCAUGAGUGUGUAUCUUCACCACCAUUUCUGGGAAGCAGAGCCCAGUGGUGUUAGAGGCAGCUGGGAAGACUGGAUAUGAAAUUAAGACAUCAGGAAUUGCCUUUCUUCUUCCUCCUCCCCACCUUUUCCUUCCCCUCCCACCCCCUUUCUUCUUCAUCACCACUGCCCUCGCCUUCAUCUGAAUUAAAAGCCAUCUUCUCAGCA